GUGAAUCAUCAAAUCUUUGAACGCAAAUUGCACUUUCUGGAGUUCCGGAAAGUAUGCCUUUCUGGGGGUCAGUUAAAUAAAAGUCGGUGUUGUUGCUGCUUUUCGUGGUGACGCGUCGGAAUUGAGUUGUCUUACCUUUGGUUAAGUUACUUAAACUUUUGCACGAUUUUCGAACGUAUUUAUAUUUUUUACGUACGUUUGAGAUAUCGAAUACUUUCUUUGGUUUGGUCAUCCUCAUGUUUCUCAUCUAUAAUUUUUCAUUAAAUGACCUCAAAUCAGGUCAGAAUACCCG
rnacentral:misc_RNA from 1 species